GCUAUUUUGUGGAGUGCGUUUAUUUUGUUGAUCGCCGCCGGCUGAUGUCAAAAGUUACGAGGAAUGACCAAAAUUAACAUCGGGGUCUUUCAUCCCUCCUGCAACUACUGGCGUGGACAAGAAACGUCGGCGAUGCGACCUUUUUGGCUACGAAACUGAUCGUCAGUAUAACCUGACACAGCACUUUAGGGUUCAUACAAAGGAGAGGCCAUUUAAUUGCCAUUAUUGUCCGAAAGACUUUUCAGCAAAGUCCAACUUCAAUGAACACGUUAAGACCCAUAGAGGAGAGCGCCCGUAUAAAUGCCAUUUGUGUGACAAAUGUUUCGCACUAAAUGCCACAUUGAAAGAUCACCUGUGUACUCACACAGGAGAAAAAAAAUAUCAAUGCCCUAUAUGCUUCAAGAGGUUCAGGUUUAGGGUAGAUCGGACCCGACAUAUGCAUGAGCACAAAUAGCAGUGACAAUUUUAAUGAAGUUUCUACUGUACGGGAUCUGUCUUUCUAAUAGUACUUUUGAUUUCUUCUGGAGCACUGUAGAAUUGCUGAGUUAUGUGACACAAUAAAGCCCCACUAUUAACAAUAAUAGGAGGUUUAAUUCUCAAUAGAGCAUCUAUACAUAUGCCGUAAAAUGAGGGUAGAAUGUUUUAAACAUAAACAUAUUUGGCAGAGGUCUUUUUGGCUUGGUAUAAAUUAUGUGAAUAAAACACUAUUCAGUCAUGCUUAGUAUACAAGUUACAAUAGUAAAACUAAAAACUGGCCCCACGAUUUGACACCCAUUCGUUCUUAUCAGUGGUUGGCCUUUCUUGCUCUGAAGCUAGUGAUAUUUCUUAGUGGUGUUGUUCGCUUCGCAGUCUUUGAUUAGUGGUCAAUUACUGUGCAUGCUACAAGUUUGGGGAAAAAGCUAUGUAUUUGUGCUAAUGAGCAACCAGAGAGACAUGCUGCAUACAUUAAAAUAUUGUAAUAAUUUUGGAAGUCUAAAUUGUAAAUCAGCUUACAUGUGCUUCUUGAAAUUGUAGUCGUGCUGUAAAAGUCUACGCGUUAUCUCGAAAAGCCACAGGGAUAUUGUUUUACAUAACAUAAACUAUCUUUACUUGUAUGACUGGUGCAAUCUGCAGUGUGGAUUGGUGAAUGAUAUGAUGCGGUCUCUGCAUUUUACGUUCAUUUUGUUGAUAUCUCUGUGCCCUGUACAUGUAAGCUUUAUUGAGAGCCUUUUUUGCUUCCUGGUAUUAUUUUUUAGCUUUCUUAUUCUAGUCUUUGCAACAAGCACUUUGCACAAAGUAAGCACUUGUUUAUCUGUAAAACUAUCACUUGAUUUAUUACAUUUAUUCACACUAAAUAAAAUACUGUAUCUUCUGAAUGUCUUGUAAUCCUGGUAUUUCAGUCUUUGCUGGCAUUUGUGUAUGUUUAAUAUGUUCCCAUGCAAGCCGAGUGAUGGGUCUGAUUUAAUUAUUUAUUAUUGCCAUUGAGUAUUGUUACAGCGAGAAAUUUACAUUAGUAGCAACUAUUAUUGUGGAAAUGCUUUGUUGUAAAAAGCCAUUCUCUUAGUAAAGCUUUUUUUUUUUCUUAAGACACCUUUAACACAGGGCCCUGAACCACUUCUAGUGCAUAGACGAGAGAGUGGUAUCUGUCGCGCCUUCGAACACAGUCCUUGUUACGGACAGUAUCGACUUCUCGCCAUUUAUUUCUUCAUGAAGCAUGUGUACAACAUCGGCAAUUUUUGAGUUUAUAAGGUUUUUCGCGCUUGUCGGCUAUGCGCUAGUAUGAUUUUUUGGGCAGUUAGAAACAGAUAAAGCCCAGUGAAAUCAAUUGGUUGGGUCCAAUAGUCAUGUGAGACAUGGAAGCACAGGUGGAUGACAGCGUAGGAAAGUAGGGUAGGAGACAAUUACCAACUGAUGAUUUUCGUAUAUGGGCCAAUUGACGAUUUGUGCAUUAAUUACCUGAAUCGUCCUUCUGGCUUCGCAAAUUGUGCCAAAAGGAUGAGAAACUGCUGGAGAAAAAGACCUCGUUUUUUGUAUCUUCGAAGACUGUUUAGGGCCCUUUUAAGGAGGCUCUAGUAACAUUUGUUUUCCUGAGCAUAAGAGGUACUGCGUUGUAGCUGUUAAACCAAAUGAAAACAUUUUAAUCUCUGCUGUAGUAUUUGUUAUAUCGUGCACAAUGUCAAGUUAGGAGUGCUAUUAUAGUACAAUGUAACUUUCAGUUACAUAAGAAAUUACAAAGUUGUAGUUUUCGUAGUGACAUCACUUUGUGAUUAUUUCCAAAACAUAUGUAUUCAUGUAGAAUAGUGCAGUAAAAAUGCAUCAUUUCUUUUCAUUGCUUCUUGAAGCUCUUCUUCAUUGAUGAUUAGAAUAUUUUGUAGAUUAUUAGGUCAGUGAAAACCAAUUUAUUUGUGCUCAUGGGUGACGAUGAAGACAUAGUACUGUUGAGUCACCAAGUGUUGUAAGAUAUAUUUUUUUUGUUGGUAUUUCGGGAGUACUUAUUGCUUCACUGUAAUCUACAGAAUUGGGUAAAAAGCAUUACUGCAACUGCAGUUACAGGUACCCUGCAAACACAAUAUAGUUACUGAUGUAGUCGUUCAUGUAAUGUGACAGUGAAAUAAGAUUAUAACAUGCCUUGCACUGAGUAUGCGGCAAGAUCCCAAAGAAAAGCUUACCAGAGUUCCCAACGAGGAAGAGUGGAGCAUAGAAGUUUGUUUCUUGUACGAAUAGAGGAAAGCUAUCAUUGUGAGUGCGCUGAAAGGAAUAAAGGAAAGGGAAUUAACAGCACGUGAUGAUUAGGUAGAGUAUAAGUAAGUGUUUUCGUAAAACUGUGUUGUUUUCACCAGAACAAAGGUCAUACAAGGCGGAAUGUGCAUCCAACAUUGCAGAAAAUGCUGACAAUUACUAAGCAUUCUAAGGGCUGCACAAGUGAUUUCUGGUUGUUUCAUGUGCACUUCAUGCACACCAUGUGUUCUCUUUGUGACAUUUGAUAAAUCAGAAACUCAAGAUUCUGUGGUCAUAGAUCAUUGAAAGAUAAUCUAUGACCAUGUGAUAUUGCUUGGUUUUCCGUGCAUUCAAGAGCACUAAUUGUUUAAUACUGCCUUUUGAGGACUUGUGUCGGUACACUCCAUCAUAGUAAAUGCCUAAUAUUAGAUCUCCUAUUGAAAGUUUGUUGACUCUGUUAACAUUCUUGAGGGAGAGAGAGAGAAAAGACUAUAUCAAUAUACACAGUGGGCCGGCAGUUUGGGCUUGGUGGCUUUAGGCGGCGGCAUUGACUCCCUGGACUCUGGCAGCAUCCUCGGCGUGCUAGACGGCCCAGCGCUGGGCGUUCAGCUCUGAGCAAUGGAGGGCCACAUCCCAGGGGUGGCAGCAAUAAAAAGUUUACAUGCCAAGUGUUCAUACAUAGAAAGUUACCUAUUAAAUGUGAAUGGUUCAGUGGACAUGUUCACUAAACAAGUGGGAUUCCAUGUGUCUUUUGUAUUGUUUUUCUUUAAGUGACAAUUUACCUUUUUGUAGGAAAGUUAUCUUUGGGGAUCAGAAUGAAUAUGAAUGCUUUGGUAAUUGUGCCAGCAUCUUUUUUUUGGUUGUUAAAAACAUUAACAAGUUGCAUACUCAAAUGAGAGCUCUGAAUCUUUUAUUUUAAAGAAACUUUAUGUGACUGUUUGGCCAUUUCGUCUGAAUUUGUAAUUUGAACAGAUGCCACGAAUCCUGCUCUAUGAUGUUGUAAAUAAAAUUUUGCAUUUCAUUAAUGAACACUUUGGGGUACUGUCAUAUUAGCUCAAGUUCACGUAAUGUUUGUUCUGUCUCUCAUUCUGAAUUCAAUUUACCAUCUCGGAGAGAUGAACCCAUAUGAACUCGCUCAAGCUUCCAUUCUUAUGCAAAGUAUUUACUCAUUUACUUGUGGUAUGGUGCUUUUUUUCUGUCUUUGUUUUCUGUAAACUUGAAUCUGGUGCCCUCUGUUUUGUUGCUUGCAAAAUAUCAAAAUAUAAUAUUGUUAUGUAAAAAUGAA
rnacentral:lncRNA from 1 species